AGAUCCCCCUCCCCUUUCUCUCUCUUCCACUUUCUAAAUAAAACCCUAAGCGCUACCUCUCAUUCCCUUCCUCUCUCUAUGCCAAAAAUGGUAAAUUCACAGAACAUAGCAGUCGCAUGCAGCUUUAUUGUGUCCAUUAUCAUGAAAGCAUUUAAUGUUGCACUAGAUCUCGUGAUUUAAAAUCACGUGUAUGAGUCUGUGUGGCUGAGUUGUGGGUUUUGGAAGCACUUAAGGCUUUCAAAUUCAUUUUUGACCAGGGCUGCACCACAAAAAGUAGCACAGAUUAUUAUGGAGUGUAACAGAUAUCCAGCCAUGCCGAGGGUUCAUGAAACCCCUUGGAACUUGUGCAGUGUCGGGAACAAGGGUGGUGACAACCUUUCCCAUUGGUAUAUUGUGGUUUGAGGUUUUCAAGUGAAGCAAUGGUAUAUAACUAAUGUCCUUGGUUUGUGCACUUGUGAUCAAGUGGGGAAGUAUAUGGAUGUGUAUAUAUAUAUAUAUAUAUAUAUAUAUAUGGUCAUGAUAGAAUUAGGUCCAUCAAACAUAGAUUAAAAAAUGGGGAUGUAUAUGUAUACGCAUAUAUGUAAGCAUAAUUCUGAUAAUACUAGAUCCACUAAACCUAUACUAAUCCAAUUCCUUUUCUUUUUCCCUCCUACUUCACGGCCACUUGUGCCAUAGUCCAACCAGACUGUUAGGCCAAAGCCCCAACAGAAAUAUUAUUUCAAAUUGUUAAGUGUAAAAAGGGAAGCUAAUAUUACGAAGGCCCAACCAUGAAUGACAAUGGCACGAAGGCCCAACCAUGGGUAAAAAUGGCUUUAAGGGGUUUGGUACACCCCUAACUUAACUC